GACGAACGCUGGCGGCGUGCUUAACACAUGCAAGUAGAACGGAAAGGCCCUGCUUUGGUUGUGUGCUCGAGUUGCGAACGGGUGAGUAACACGUAGGUAACCUGCCCUUGACUGUGGGAUAACUUCAGGAAACUGGGGCUAAUACCGCAUAGGAGCUCCUGCUGCAUGGUGGGGGUUGGAAAGUUUCGGCGGUUGGGGUUGGAGGCGCGGCUUAUCAGCUUGUUGGUGGGGUAGUGGCUUACCAUGGCUUUGACGGGUAGCCGGCCUGAGAGGGUGACCGGCCACAGUGGGACUGAGAUACGGCCCAGACUGCUACGGGAGGAAGCAGUGGGGAAUAGAGCACAAUGGGCGGAAGCCUGAUGCAGCAACGCCGCGUGCGGGAGGACGGCUUUCGGGUUGUAAACCGCUUUCGCCUGGGACGAAGCGUGAGUGACGGUAAUGGGUAAAGAAGCACCGGCUAACUACGUG
rnacentral:rRNA from 1 species